CCUACGGGAGGCAGCAGUGGGGAAUUUUGGACAAUGGACGCAAGUCUGAUCCAGCCAUGCCGCGUGUGGGAAGAAGGCCUUCGGGUUGUAAACCACUUUUGUCAGGGAAGAAACGGCCUGGGUUAAUACCUUGGGCUAAUGACGGUACCUGAAGAAUAAGCACCGGCUAACUACGUGCCAGCAGCCGCGGUAAUACGUAGGGUGCAAGCGUUAAUCGGAAUUACUGGGCGUAAAGCGUGCGCAGGCGGUUAUGCAAGACAGAUGUGAAAUCCCCGGGCUCAACCUGGGAACUGCAUUUGUGACUGCAUGGCUAGAGUACGGUAGAGGGGGAUGGAAUUCCGCGUGUAGCAGUGAAAUGCGUAGAUAUGCGGAGGAACACCGAUGGCGAAGGCAAUCCCCUGGACCUGUACUGACGCUCAUGCACGAAAGCGUGGGGAGCAAACAGGAUUAGAUACCCUGGUAGUCCACGCCCUAAACGAUGUCAACUGGUUGUUGGGAGGGUUUCUUCUCAGUAACGUAGCUAACGCGUGAAGUUGACCGCCUGGGGAGUACGGCCGCAAGGUUGAAACUCAAAUGAAAUUGGAGCGNGAGAGNGCGAGACGACGACGAGGGAGGAGG
rnacentral:rRNA from 1 species